rnacentral:sRNA from 1 species
AGCUCUGCGAGGGGCCGGAGCGCGGCGGAGCCAUGCAGUACCCGCACCCCGGGCCGGCGGCGGGCGCCGUGGGGGUGCCGCUGUACGCGCCCACGCCGCUGCUGCAGCCUGCACACCCGACGCCCUUCUACAUCGAGGACAUCCUGGGCCGCGGGCCCGCCGCGCCCACGCCCGCCCCCACGCUGCCGUCCCCCAACUCCUCCUUCACCAGCCUCGUGUCCCCCUACCGGACCCCGGUGUACGAGCCCACACCGAUCCACCCCGCCUUCUCGCACCACUCCGCCGCCGCGCUGGCAGCUGCCUACGGACCCGGCGGCUUCGGGGGCCCUCUGUACCCCUUCCCGCGGACGGUAAACGACUACACGCACGCCCUGCUCCGCCACGACCCCCUGGCCUCGAGGGUUUGAUGAUGCGCCCCGAGCCUGGCUGUGGUCGCCUGUCGGGGCUGGAGCGGGACCCUCAGUCGGGCCGGGCCUGGGGGCUAACGUUUUCACAGUGCGCCCUGAGUUUCCUUGGGUUACUGCUGGGACCGCGCAGGAGGAAGCAAAGAGUUUUUCGAGCUAGACCAACAGGAAACACAUUGACGGAAAUGUUGCCAUAGCCCAUGGGGUGGCUUUAACUGGCCGCCCCCGCGGGCUGGGUGUGAAAUCAGAGGAGGCCGCGGCUCCCCCAGCCAGGAUUGGAGGCUCCUAGCGCAGCCUAAUGCGGGCGUCCCGGCCCGAGCGCUUCCCGCGCAGCCAGGCCUUGUCGGUGCAGCAGCCCCGCUCCUCCCCAACACGCACACACCCGGUGUUCGAAAGUGCGGCUCACCAAGGGAGAUCCAAGGGGGCAAAAAGUUAUGUAUAAAUCCGAGAGCUACUGGGGAAAGAGGGUCGUGGUAUUGUAAGCCCAGCCGGUAGUGCCCAUUCUUUUCGGGGUUAAAGAUACGUCUGGAUUUAGUUCUAGGUGUGACGGCUGUGUGUCUGUGUGUGUACAAGGCUGUGUGCAUCUGCAGUGUCAGUGUGUGACUUUGGGUAUGUUUGUGUGUUGGUGGGAACGUGUUAGGUCCACGUGCCGGUGGGUGUAUGUGAAUGUGUCUGGUUGGGUGGCCUCCUGGCCUACUUUUGUCAUCGCCGGGGCCCGGCAGCUCUGGGGUCUGGCCAGGCCGCUCCAGGGCCGUGGGUGAGCGCCGCUCUUCCCGCCCGCAGGCAAACCUCUACUCUGGAGCCCCUUCUUGCAGAGGCCUCUGCAUAAAAGGAAAGGCGGCCAGGUGAGAUUCUCCAACGACCAGACCAUCGAGCUGGAGAAGAAAUUCGAGACGCAG